rnacentral:rRNA from 1 species
GACGAACGCUGGCGGCGUGCUUAACACAUGCAAGUCGAACGGUGAAGCGCCUUCCUUUUUGGUGGGUGUGGAUGAGUGGCGAACGGGUGAGUAACACGUGAGUAACCUGCCCCCUUCUUCUGGAUAACCGCAUGAAAGUGUGGCUAAUACGGGAUAUUCUGGGUCUGUCGCAUGAUGGGUCUGGGAAAGAUAUUGUUUCGGUGGGGGAUGGGCUCGCGGCCUAUCAGCUUGUUGGUGGGGUGAUGGCCUACCAAGGCGGUGACGGGUAGCCGGCCUGAGAGGGUGGACGGUCACACUGGGACUGAGACACGGCCCAGACUCCAACGGGAGGCAGCAGUGGGGAAUAUUGCACAAUGGGCGCAAGCCUGAUGCAGCGACGCCGCGUGAGGGAUGGAGGCCUUCGGGUUGUGAACCUCUUUCGCCAGUGAAGCAGGCCUGCCUCGUUUGUGGGUGGGUUGACGGUAGCUGGAGAAGAAGCGCCGGCUAACUACGUG